rnacentral:rRNA from 1 species
AUUGAACGCCGGCGGCAGGCUUAACACAUGCAAGUCGAGCGGAGUAUUGGUGCUUGCACCAAUACUUAGCGGCGGACGGGUGAGUAAUGCUUAGGAAUCUGCCUAUUAGUGGGGGACAACAUCUCGAAAGGGAUGCUAAUACCGCAUACGCCCUACGGGGGAAAGCAGGGGAUCUUCGGACCUUGCGCUAAUAGAUGAGCCUAAGUCGGAUUAGGUAGUUGGUGGGGUAAAGGCCUACCAAGGCGACGAUCUGUAGCGGGUCUGAGAGGAUGAUCCGCCACACUGGGACUGAGACACGGCCCAGACUCCUACGGGAGGCAGCAGUGGGGAAUAUUGGACAAUGGGGGGAACCCUGAUCCAGCCAUGCCGCGUGUGUGAAGAAGGCCUUUUGGUUGUAAAGCACUUUAAGCGAGGAGGAGGCUACUCUAGUUAAUACCUAGAGAUAGUGGACGUUACUCGCAGAAUAAGCACCGGCUAACUCUGUGCCAGCCGCCGCAGUAACAC